GAUGAACGCUGGCGGCGUGCUUAACACAUGCAAGUCGAACGGAAAAGCCGGACUUUCCUCUGCCUCAUGAGUGGCGAACGUGUGUGUAACACGUGUGCAAUCCGCUCCACAUCCGGGGAAAAGCGCGGGAAAGGGUGUAUAACACGGGAGACGAGCUCCUAAGGGAGGUUGUUGAACUGGUAAUUAGGUGGGGGAGGGGUGAGCGGGCUAUCUGCUUGUUGGUUGGGUAAUGGGCUACCAAGGCGGCGACGGGUAGCCGGCCUGAGAGGGUGGACGGCCACAAUGGGACUGAGAUAAGGCCCAGACUCCUACGGGAGGCAGCAGGGGGGAAUAUUGCACAAUGGGCGCAAGCCUGAUGCAGCGACGCCGCGUGGGGGAUGAAGGCCUUCGGGUUGUAAACUCCUUUCGCUAGGGAAGAAGCUUUUUGUGACGGUACCUAGAUAAGAAGCACCGGCUAACUACGUG
rnacentral:rRNA from 1 species